rnacentral:lncRNA from 1 species
CGGGGCGCGAAAGGAACGGCCAAAGUGCGGACUCAGCGGUUUUAUUGACAGCGGCGCUGAGGGCUGAACUCACGGUCGCGUCUCUCGGAGCACGAGGAGCGCAGGAACACGGAAGAACUCCAUACUCCAUGGGGAGAAGUGCAGAGAAAGCAGUGCAAAGUUAGGGAAAACCUGCUGAGCUGUGAUGCUGCACAUGCAAGAAAACAGAGCAAAUGGAAACGAGACAAAGGAAAAGGCAGCAGAGGAGUGUCUAGGAAUGGCUAUGUGGGGAAAGCUAUGCAAGAAGUUUCUGGAAUUGCAUAUACAGAGAUUUAAGUUUUAUUCAUACAUUUAUUUACACCAGUUAUAUCUAUUAAUUGCAAGAGACUGACCUUGACUCUCCUUGUUUUAAAUAAGGUUAUAACCACCACGCACAGUAAAGGAGUUAAUGCUAUUAGUGUCACGGGUGGCAUGAACGUGCAGCAGGGCAGCGUGAUGCCCAGCAAUUCUACUUUGGAAAAGUAUUCGUUCUUCUGCAGAUGCAGUUUUGGCUGCUCUCCCUUCAGCUGGAGCAGCCAUAGAUGUGUCUGUAUAGAGCCACAUUGUUAAUGCCAUCACAGACUGGAAAAUGCUUAUAAUAUGUGCAGGCAAGUAAAAAAAAAAGGUUUUUUUUUUUUAAACAUAAAAAAGCAUUAAGUCUGUUUAUUGCACAAAGGAGGACAGAUUUAAGCUAAACUACUACUGCAGGAUUACGUAUCCCUUUCCUUUGCUCAAGCUGUUUAAUAGGCAGAUUAUCAGUUGUAAUUUUGUUAUGUACUAGCCAAUAAAUUCCAACAGCAAGGUGCAGUAAUUCCACGUGCCCACAGUUCUGGAUGCACUAUGCCAGCUUCCCUGGGAAACAAAGCCAUCGGGUGCCCAUCCCCUGCAGCUGGGAAGAACAGGAAACCUAGGGAGAACUUGCCCACUCUAUUUCCUCAUGUAGUAAACAAGGUGCAGUUUCUAUCUCAGCCUCCACCCCACAGAUUUGUUGCCCAGAAAUGAAAAAGACACAGGGCAAGAGCAUGCGAGAGUAAAUCUCACCAACAGAGCCAAAUUAGAGAUCCCAGCGUGAAGCAAUCAGAUGAAUGGACACAACACAAAAGCUACUGAGGAAGAAUGCAUGACCUGUUUUCCCUUGACUGUGUUCUCACCAAGCACGUGAAAUUAUAUAAAAGCUGAAGAAACCUUUUUUUUUUUUUAAAAAAGUCUGUCAUAGUUAGUACAAUUUAAAACUGUCUUUGCCAUCACAACUAAUUCAACCCCCAAAUGUAAUUAAAACGAAUUGGCAUUUUCCCCACGGACAGUCAUUAGAUGUAAUGACUUUAAGUUUCUGUGCUAUGUAAUCUGAGCAGUCUCCCAUUUUACCAGAAGACUGUGGAAAGAAAGGUCAGGUUUCUUCAGACAUUCAGAUAACCAUCAUGAACCAAAACUACCAGAAAAGAGCUUGUUUACAGAAGUAAGAGGUGAAGGGUACAUAAGAGAUAAAUAGCUUAUAACUUGGGGUCUUUUAACUGCAGUGGAACAGUAGAUAAUCCCCCUUAGGUAAAACAUGGAAGCUUUGCUCCUGUCAAUGUAAACAUUUUGAGUGUUGCAUGAAGCUAAUACAGAUACAGAUCCUCUUAGCUUCUGAACACCUUCUAGCCUAAAGCCUCUACUUUCUCUUUCCUCU